CGGCGAGUGAAGCGGCAACAGCUCAAAUUUGAAAUCUGGCCUCUCGGGGUCCGAGUUGUAAUUUGUAGAGGAUGUUUCGGGUACCGCCUCGGUUUAAAUUUCUUGGAACAGAAUGUCAAAGAGGGUGAGAAUCCCGUCUUGGACCGGCGGUAGGGCCUAUGUGAAACUCCUUCGACGAGUCGAGUUGUUUGGGAAUGCAGCUCAAAAUGGGUGGUAAAUUUCAUCUAAAGCUAAAUAUUGGCCAGAGACCGAUAGCGCACAAGUAGAGUGAUCGAAAGAUGAAAAGCACUUUGAAAAGAGAGUUAAACAGUAUGUGAAAUUGUUGAAAGGGAAGCGCUUGCAACCAGACUUGAGCGCGGCGGUUCCCCCUUGCUUCUGCUUGGGUUACUCCGCCGUGUCCAGGCCAACAUCGGUUCUGGGGGUCGGUCAAAGGCCUUGGGAAUGUAUCUACCCACGGGUAGACUUAUAGACCAGGGUGUCAUGCGACCUCCCGGGACCGAGGAACGCGCUUCGGCUCGGAUGUUGGCGUAAUGGUUGUCAGCGACCCGUCUUGAAACACGGACCAAGGAGUCUAACAUCUAUGCGAGUGUUUGGGUGUCAAACCCGGAACGCGGAAUGAAAGUGAACGGAGGUAGGAAGCUUCGGCUGCACUAUCGACCGAUCCUGAAGUUUACGGAUGGAUUUGAGUAAGAGCAUAGCUGUUGGGACCCGAAAGAUGGUGAACUAUGCCUGAAUAGGGUGAAGCCAGAGGAAACUCUGGUGGAGGCUCGCAGCGGUUCUGACGUGCAAAUCGAUCGUCAAAUUUAGGU
rnacentral:rRNA from 1 species